GUCGGCCUACACGAGUGGUUAAGGCCAUGAUGGACUGGACCUCCAUUUGGGAUAUUUCCCGCGUAGGUUCAAAUCCUACCGGCGGGUACG